rnacentral:rRNA from 1 species
UACGGGGGGGGCAAGCGUUGUUCGGAAUUACUGGGCGUAAAGGGCUUGUAGGUGGCCAACUAAGUCAGACGUGAAAUCCCUCGGCUUAACCGGGGAACUGCGUCUGAUACUGGAUGGCUUGAGUUUGGGAGAGGGAUGCGGAAUUCCAGGUGUAGCGGUGAAAUGCGUAGGAUAAUCUGGAGGAACACCGAUGGGCGAAGGCAGCUCGCUGGGACGGUACUGACGCUGAGGCGCGAAAGCGUGGGGAGCAAACAGG